rnacentral:rRNA from 1 species
UACGUAGGGGGCAAGCGUUGUCCGGAUUUAUUGGGCGUAAAGAGCGUGUAGGCGGCCGUCCAGGUCAGCUGUGAAAACUCGAGGCUCAACCUCGAGACGUCGGUUGAAACCGUACGGCUAGAGUCCGGAAGAGGAGAGUGGAAUUCCCGGUGUAGCGGUGAAAUGCGCAGAUAUCGGGAAGAACACCCGUGGCGAAGGCGGCUCUCUGGGACGGUACUGACGCUGAGACGCGAAAGCGUGGGGAGCAAACAGG